rnacentral:rRNA from 1 species
GAUGAACGCUGGCGGCGUGCCUAAUACAUGCAAGUCGAGCGAACAGACGAGGAGCUUGCCCCUCUGACGUUAGCGGCGGACGGGUGAGUAACACGUGGAUAACCUACCUAUAAGACUGGGAUAACUUCGGGAAACCGGAGCUAAUACCGGAUAAUAUAUUGAACCGCAUGGUUCAAUAGUGAAAGACGGUUUUGCUGUCACUUAUAGAUGGAUCCGCGCCGCAUUAGCUAGUUGGUAAGGUAACGGCUUACCAAGGCAACGAUGCGUAGCCGACCUGAGAGGGUGAUCGGCCACACUGGAACUGAGACACGGUCCAGACUCCUACGGGAGGCAGCAGUAGGGAAUCUUCCGCAAUGGGCGAAAGCCUGACGGAGCAACGCCGCGUGAGUGAUGAAGGUCUUCGGAUCGUAAAACUCUGUUAUUAGGGAAGAACAAAUGUGCAAGUAACUAUGCACGUCUUGACGGUACCUAAUCAGAAAGCCACGGCUAACUACGUG